rnacentral:rRNA from 1 species
GUCCUUAUGACUUAUAUAAGGUCAUACCUGCCCAGUGAUAAAUAUUUAACGGCCGCGGUAUUUUGACCGUGCAAAGGUAGCAUAAUCAUUAGUCUUUUAAUAGGAGACUGGAAUGAAGGGUUUGACGAAGUAUUAACUGUCUCAUUUAAAUAUUUUGAAUUUAGCUUUUAAGUUAAAAGGCUUAAAUUUCUUUGGAAGACGAGAAGACCCUAUAGAGCUUUAUUACCAAAAAUAUUAUUUAUUUUUAUUCUAUUAAUUAUUAUUUUAUUUUGGUUUUUUUGUUGGGGUGACAAGAAAUACAUAAUUAACUUUUAUAUUUAUUUUACAUUAAUUUAUGGUUAUUAGAUCCAAUAUUAUUGAUUAUUAGAAUAAGUUACCUUAGGGAUAACAGCGUAAUCUUCCUUCAGAGUUCAAAUUUACAGGAAGGCUUGCGACCUCGAUGUUGGAUUAAGAUUAUAAUUAGGUGUAGCUGCUUAAUUAAUAGGUCUGUUCGACCUUUAAAUUCUUACAUGAUCUGAGUUCAGACCGG